rnacentral:rRNA from 1 species
AAAGAGUAACGGAGGAGUACGAAGGUGCGCUCAGACCGGUCGGAAAUCGGUCGUAGAGUAUAAAGGCAAAAGCGCGCUUGACUGCGAGACAAACACGUCGAGCAGGUACGAAAGUAGGUCUUAGUGAUCCGGUGGUUCUGUAUGGAAGGGCCAUCGCUCAACGGAUAAAAGGUACUCCGGGGAUAACAGGCUGAUACCGCCCAAGAGUUCAUAUCGACGGCGGUGUUUGGCACCUCGAUGUCGGCUCAUCACAUCCUGGGGCUGAAGCCGGUCCCAAGGGUAUGGCUGUUCGCCAUUUAAAGUGGUACGCGAGCUGGGUUUAGAACGUCGUGAGACAGUUCGGUCCCUAUCUGCCGUGGACGUUUGAGAUUUGAGAGGGGCUGCUCCUAGUACGAGAGGACCGGAGUGGACGAACCUCUGGUGUUCCGGUUGUCACGCCAGUGGCAUUGCCGGGUAGCUAUGUUCGGAAGAGAUAACCGCUGAAAGCAUCUAAGCGGGAAACUUGCCUCAAGAUGAGAUCUCACUGGGAUCUUGAAUCCCCUGAAGGGCCGUCGAAGACUACGACGUUGAUAGGUUGGGUGUGUAAGCGCUGUGAGGCGUUGAGCUAACCAAUACUAAUUGCCCGUGAGGCUUGACCAUAUAACACCCAAGCAAUU